UACGUAGGGGGCUAGCGUUGUCCGGAUUUAUUGGGCGUAAAGAGCGUGUAGGCGGCCAGGUAGGUCCGUUGUGAAAACUCGAGGCUCAACCUCGAGACGCCGGCGGAAACCCUUUGGCUAGAGUCCGGAAGAGGAGAGUGGAAUUCCUGGUGUAGCGGUGAAAUGCGCAGAUAUCAGGAAGAACACCCGUGGCGAAGGCGGCUCUCUGGGACGGUACUGACGCUGAGACGCGAAAGCGUGGGGAGCAAACAGG
rnacentral:rRNA from 1 species